rnacentral:rRNA from 1 species
CCUACGGGUGGCAGCAGUAGGGAAUAUUGCUCAAUGGGGGAAACCCUGAAGCAGCAACGCCGCGUGGAGGAUGAAGGUUUUCUGAUUUUAAACUCCUUUUGUUAUAGAAGAUAAUGACUGUAUCUAACAAAUAAUCACCGUCUAACUCCGUGCCAGCAGCCGCGGUAAUACGGAGGGUGCAAGCGUUAUUCGGAAGCACUGGGCGUAAAGAGGGCGUAGGCGGGAUAGCAAGUCAGAUGUGAAAUCCUAUGGCUUAACCAUAGAAUUGCAUUUGAAACUGUUAUUCUAGAGUAUGGGAGAGGUAGGUUGAAUUCUUGGUGUAGGGGUAAAAUCCGUAGAGAUCAAGAGGAAUACUCAUUGCGAAGGCGGCCUGCUAGAACAUAACUGACGCUGAUGCGCGAAAGCGUGGGGAGCAAACAGGAUUAGAUACCCGAGUAGUC